UCUUCUACACACUGUAACCAGCAGUAGUAGACCAAUAACUCCAAACGCAACCACCCCUAAUCUAUCAGCUUAGUCCUCUCUCCUUCAUAAUGCAUCAACGCCAUAACUCAAACCCAACCACCCCUUUCUCAUAAAUUCGAACCCAUCACCCAACUUCCCCUCAUAAAGAUCCCUAACGCUCACCAACCCAUAAUCUUCCCCUCUUCUUGUACGAUUUUGACUCCACCCACAUAAAAUCCACUCUGAGAUCCUUCCACACACUCAUCUAGGGCUUAGUCAGGUAACGAUUUAUUUUUUCAAAAUUUUGUCACAACUUUCCUUCACAUCUAACCUACCUCACCUCAAAUCACAUUAACCCACAUCACCACGUAUUUUUACUCUUAGUCCUUCACAUAGAUGGAAUCAGGCACUACAUCCUCCUCCACCUCACUAGUGCCCUACUAUUCAUCAGUUCCCUUGAGUUGUUCCUCCCUUGACUGUGUUCCCUUACUAAGAUGUGUGAGGGCCAGUAAUGGGACACAUAUCAUUGCUUUUGUGCCGACCAAUAGGAGCACCGCCUUUAGAGAUAGAAGGAGUGAGAUAUCUCAAAACGUGAUAUGUGCGUGCAACUUUAAUAUGCAGUUUACGUAUGUGCAUGCUGGAUGGGGGGAAGUGCGAACGAUUCAAGAGUGAUGCAGGAGGCACUUGGACAUGCUAAGUUCCAGUUCUCUUGGCUGCCUAGAGAAAAAUCUGUAUAAUACCAUGCCCAAGAAUAUCAAGGUGCAAACAGGCAAGCUACAACCCCGUAAGAGUUGUUUAAUUAUAGGCAUUCAUCAUUGCGAAUGGUGAUUGAACGGUGCUUGGGCAUGUUGAAGGCAACGUUCUUGAUUCUAAAUGAAAUGCACUCCUUCUCACAGUCUAAACAACGACUCAUUGUCACCGCGUGCUGUGUAGUGCAUAACUUCAUACGCAUGUAUAACCGGUCGGGCAAAAUGUUCCAUGCGUGAGAAGAAUUAGACAUGGAAAGAUGCAAUGCAAGCAUAGUAGGAGAUGCACGAGUCGAAAGUGGAGGGAAUGAAGAAGCAUUUAAUCUUUGGACACAACGAGCCAUGACUGAGUAUUGUGACAGCUAACCGUGGUUGAUUUUUUUGGGAGGAAGUAUUUGUGGAAAAUAUGGCCAUGUAAUUUGCAAAUUGUUGUACUUUUAUUUUGUACUAUUGUUCUUGCUAUUCAGUUAUGAGAAAGCUUUCAAUGCCAUUUUUCAAAUACUAUGUAAUUAUUUUUUAUAACCUUUAAUAUCAGUCAUUCCAAAAAAUCAAAAUCUACCUUACAAGAGAAGUGUACAGAUACUGGCAGAUUGUUAUUAUUGAAACAAGAGUAUUCUGAAAAGGAUAGUGCCAAUUAUUGAAAACUACCUAUCUUUCAAAUACUUCUUUUUUUGUGAACAAAACACAUCACUAAUAACACACCAAGCACAAAACACAUCAAUAGAAUCUAAAAAGUUCAAAAAUUGACCAAAGGUUUCAACAAACAAAACAGUAUUAAGAACAAUCGAAUGAUACCAACUACACAAUCAAUGAUUGAUAUAAUGCAAUAUAAGUACCAAAUAUAAAAUGAAACUAAUACUGAAUGUCAAGACUCUAGAGUGAAUGAAAUGUUUGGAUUUUUUUCUUCUCCUUCUAGUAACUCUCUGGCUUGCUACUGUCAUCUUCCAGGAAAUCCUCUACCCAAAAAUGCUUCUUGGUGCAUAGUGAACAUGUAAAACAUUUGAGCUUAAACAACUUUUCAAAGAAUCAUAUAGCUAGCACUAACAAAAUACAAGAGGCUACUAUGUCCAAAAAUAUUACACAACCACGUUAUUAAAAUGGUCCUAUGUAUCCAUGCCAGUUUGAUAACGAAUCGUACAUAAUAGACAAAUAUGCUUAGAAAGCAAAAACAAAGUGGUCAUCACAUCACUUUCUUUUACACCGUUGUCGUAAUGAGCAGUAGUGCAACAACUAUGCAUAACAGGCACUAUCCAAUGAACAU